rnacentral:rRNA from 1 species
ACGGGAGGCAGCAGUGAGGAAUAUUGGUCAAUGGACGGAAGUCUGAACCAGCCAUGCCGCGUGCAGGAAUAAGGCCCUAUGGGUCGUAAACUGCUUUUGUGGUGGAGCAAUAAGGCGUACGUGUACGUCGAUGAGAGUACAUCACGAAUAAGCAUCGGCUAACUCCGUGCCAGCAGCCGCGGUAAUACGGAGGAUGCGAGCGUUAUCCGGAUUUAUUGGGUUUAAAGGGUGCGUAGGCGGCACGUUAAGUCAGCGGUGAAAUGCAGGGGCUCAACCCCGGCACUGCCGUUGAAACUGGCGAGCUCGAGUACGGAUGAAGUCGGCGGAAUGUGAUGUGUAGCGGUGAAAUGCUUAGAUAUGUCACAGAACACCGAUUGCGAAGGCAGCUGACUAAUCCGCAACUGACGCUCAGGCACGAAAGCGUGGGGAUCGAACAGGAUUAGAUACCCUGGUA